AGAGUUUGAUCCUGGCUCAGAGCGAACGCUGGCGGCAGGCUUAACACAUGCAAGUCGAGCGGGCGUAGCAAUACGUCAGCGGCAGACGGGUGAGUAACGCGUGGGAACGUACCUUUUGGUUCGGAACAACACAGGGAAACUUGUGCUAAUACCGGAUAAGCCCUUACGGGGAAAGAUUUAUCGCCGAAAGAUCGGCCCGCGUCUGAUUAGCUAGUUGGUAGGGUAACGGCCUACCAAGGCGACGAUCAGUAGCUGGUCUGAGAGGAUGAUCAGCCACAUUGGGACUGAGACACGGCCCAAACUCCUACGGGAGGCAGCAGUGGGGAAUAUUGGACAAUGGGCGCAAGCCUGAUCCAGCCAUGCCGCGUGAGUGAUGAAGGCCCUAGGGUUGUAAAGCUCUUUUGUGCGGGAAGAUAAUGACGGUACCGCAAGAAUAAGCCCCGGCUAACUUCGUGCCAGCAGCCGCGGUAAUACGAAGGGGGCUAGCGUUGCUCGGAAUCACUGGGCGUAAAGGGUGCGUAGGCGGGUCUUUAAGUCAGGGGUGAAAUCCUGGAGCUCAACUCCAGAACUGCCUUUGAUACUGAGGAUCUUGAGUUCGGGAGAGGUGAGUGGAACUGCGAGUGUAGAGGUGAAAUUCGUAGAUAUUCGCAAGAACACCAGUGGCGAAGGCGGCUCACUGGCCCGAUACUGACGCUGAGGCACGAAAGCGUGGGGAGCAAACAGGAUUAGAUACCCUAGUAGUCC
rnacentral:rRNA from 1 species